AUGGUUCUGUUUGCAUUGAGCUGGGUUCUGUAGGUCACAUGGUUCUGUAGGUUGCAUGGUUCUGUAGGUCACAUGGUUCUGUAGGUCGCAUGGUUCUGUAGGUCACAUGGUUCUGUAGGUCAUGGAGCUUAGUUUUGUAGGUCACAUGGUUCUGUAGGUCACAUGGUUCUGUAGGUCACAUGGUGCUGUAGGUCACAUGGUUCUGUAGGUCAUUGAGCUGGGUUCUGUAGGUCACAUGGUUCUGUAGGUCACAUGGUUCUGCAGGUCACAUGGUUCUGUAGGUCACAUGGUUCUGUAGGUCCCAUGGUUCUUUAGGUCACAUGGUUCUGUAGGUCACAUGGUUCUGUUGGUCACAUGGUUCUGUAGGUCACAUGGUUCUGUAGGUCACAUGGUUCUGUAGGUCCCACGGUGCUGUAGGUCACAUGGUGCUGCAGGUCACAUGGUUCUGGGGCUCACCGUGUCGGCGUCGAUGUAGAUGGUGGGGCAGUCCGAGCAGGUGGUCAGCAUCUGGGAGGAGCGGAGAAACUUGGAGCCGAUCCCCCGCAGCCCCUCCCCCAGGUAGGUGGCUGCGUCCGUGGUCAGCGUGCAGAACUUCCCCUGGAUGUUCUGGGAGCCAGCAGGACGCCACGUUAAGGCAGUGUGUUUGAUUGGUCCCACUCAAGAACACACGGCUUUGAUAAAACAUAGGAAUGAAAAGCCAUUGCCUUUCCACU
ensembl:lncRNA